rnacentral:rRNA from 1 species
UACGUAGGGGGCAAACGUUGUCCGGAAUCAUUGGGCGUAAAGCGCUUGUAGGCGGUCGCGUAAGUCAGAUGUCAAAUCCCCGGGCUUAACCCGGGUCCGCAUUUGAUACUGCGCGGCUCGAGAGAUGUAGAGGAAAGCGGAACUACCGGUGUAGCGGUGAAAUGCGUAGAUAUCGGUAGGAACACCAGUGGCGAAGGCGGCUUUCUGGACAUUUUCUGACGCUGAGAAGCGAAAGCUAGGGGAGC